GUAGGGUGCAAGCGUUAAUCGGAAUUACUGGGCGUAAAGCGUGCGCAGGCGGUUUUGUAAGUCUGAUGUGAAAUCCCCGGGCUCAACCUGGGAACUGCAUUGGAGACUGCAAGGCUAGAGUGUGUCAGAGGGGGGUAGAAUUCCACGUGUAGCAGUGAAAUGCGUAGAGAUGUGGAGGAAUACCGAUGGCGAAGGCAGCCCCCUGGGAUAACACUGACGCUCAUGCACGAAAGCGUGGGGGGAGCAAACAGGAUUAGAUACCCUGGUAGUCCACGCCCUAAACGAUGUCUACUAGUUGUCGGGACUUAAUUGUCUUGGUAACGCAGCUAACGCGUGAAGUAGACCGCCUGGGAGUACGGUCGCAAGAUUA
rnacentral:rRNA from 1 species